GACGAACGCUGGCGGCAUGCCUAAUACAUGCAAGUCGAGCGGACAGAAGGGAGCUUGCUCCCGAAAGUCAGCGGCGGACGGGUGAGUAACACGUGGGCAACCUGCCCCUUAGAUUGGGAUAACUUCGGGAAACCGAAGCUAAUACCGAAUAAUACAAGGAACCUCCUGGUUCUCUGUUGAAAGAUGGCCUUUGUGCUGUCACUAAGGGAUGGGCCCGCGGGGCAUUAGCUAGUUGGUAAGGUAACGGCUUACCAAGGCGACGAUGCGUAGCGGACCUGGGAGGGUGAUCGGCCAAACUGGGACUGAGACACGGCCCAGACUCCUACGGGAGGCAGCAGUAGGGAAUCUUCCGCAAUGGACGAAAGUCUGACGGAGCAAUGCCGCGUGAGUGAGGAAGGCCUUCGGGUCGUAAAGCUCUGUUGUGAGGGAAGAACAAGUACCGGCGUAACUACCGGUACCGUGACGGUACCUCACCAGAAAGCCACGGCUAACUACGUGCCAGCCGCCGCGGUAA
rnacentral:rRNA from 1 species